rnacentral:lncRNA from 1 species
AGGAUUUCCAUCCCACAGCCCCAGCAUAUCCCCCCACCCCCUGAACUGUCUCCUUUGGAAACCAUAAGUUUUUCAAAGUCUGUGAGUCAGUAUCUGCUCUGCGAAGAAGUUCAGUCUGUCCUUCUUUCAGAUUCCACAUGUCAGUGAAAGCAUUUGAUGUUGGUGUCUCAUUGUAUGUCUGGCUUCACUUAGCAUGAUAAUUUCUAGGUCCACCCAUGUUGCUAAAAAUGCUGGUAUUUCAUUCCUUUUAAUGGCUGAGUAAUAGUCCAUUGUGUAUAUGUACCACCUCUUCUUGAUCCACUCCUCUGUUGAUGGACAUUUAGGGUGUUUCCAUGUCUUGGCUAUUGAAAAUAGUGCUGCAAUGAACACUGGAGUACAUGUGUCUUUGCGAGUCAUGGUUUUCUCUGGAUAGAUGCCCAGGAGUGGGAUUGCUGGGUCAAAUGGUAGUUCUAUGUGUAGUUUUCUGAGGACUCUCCAUACUGUUUUCCACAGUGGUUACACCAAUUUACAAUCCCAUCAACAGUGUCAUAGGGUUCCUUUUUCUCCACACCCUCUCCAGCACUUACUGUUUGUAGACUUUUAGAUGAUGGCCAUUCUGGCUGGUGUAAGGUGGUACCUCAUAGUGGUUUGGAUUUGCAUUUCUCUAAUAAUGAGUGAUGUUGAACAUCUUUUCAUGUGUUUUUUGGCCAUCUGCAUGUCUUCUUUGGAGAACUGUCUGUUUAGAUCUUCUGCCCAUUUUUUGAUGGGGUUGUUUGUUUUUUUGGUAUUGAGUUGCAGAAGUUGUUUAUAAAUUUUGGAGAUUAAUCCCUUGUCCGUUGAUUCAUUUGCAAAGAUUUCUCUCCCAUUCUGCGGGUUGUCUUUUUGUUUUGUUUAGGGGUUUCCUUUGCUGUGCAGAAACUUUUCAGUUUGAUUAGGUCCCAUUUGUUUAUUUCUGUUUUUAUUGUUAAUACUCUAAGAAGUGGAUCUAAGAAGAUGUUGCUGUCAUUUAUGUCAGAGAGUGUUUGGCCUGUGUUUUCCUCUAAGAGUUUGAUAGUGUCUGGUCUUAUAUCUAGGUCUUUAAUCCUUUUGGAGUUUUUUUUUGUGUCUGGUGUUAGGGAGUGUUCUAAUUUCAUUCUUUUCCAUGUGGCUGUCCAGUUUUCCCAGCACCACUUAUUAAACAAGCUGUCCUUUCUCCAUGGUAUAACCUUGCCUUCUUUGUCAUAGAUUAGUUGGCUGUAGGUGCGUGGAUUGAAUUCUGGGCUUUUUAUCCUGUUCCACUGAUCUAUAUUUUUCUUUGUGCCAGUACCAUACAGUUUUGAUGAUUGUUGCUUUGUAGUAUAGCCUGAAGUCCGGGAGCCUGAUUCCUCCAGCUCCAUUUUUCUUUUUCAGGAUGUCUUUGGCUAUUCUGGGUCUUUUGUGCUUCCGAACAAACUUUAAGAUAUUUUGUUCGAGUUCUGUGAAAAAUGUCCUUGGUAACUAAAAUUCAUUUUACUGACGCUUUAAAGUUUCUGCCAAGGCCUGACCAUAAUCUUUUCCUUGUACUAUCAUUAGAGUUGUUCCUCAGAGCUAAUAAAACUUUUCUUUUAAACAAACCAUCCCUCUUGAGAGGAUUAAAUCAAUGCUGUAGAGUGAAGGAUGGGUUGGUUUGACCAAAGUGGCUUGGGAAAACAAGAGAAGGAAGGGGUUUGAUGGUGGAAAAGAACAGGAAUCUUUGUUACUACCUGGAAAAGCUGGCCUGCUUGGGUGUGGGACUGCAUGAAAACACUCCGAGAAGAGUGGAACCAAGACCCCCGAGAUACUCUGCUUUCAUUUCUGGAUUUUGUCUUGGGUGGGUAGUGACAGUGAACCAGGGAGCUGGCCCUUAGAGGGUAUCAGGUCCUCCUCCUAAAGCAGCUCCUGUGGUCUUUCAUCCUGGUUCCUUCACUGACUGUGGUCACUCAGUUCAUUUCAGUUUCCAUCUGACCAGAGCUUUGUCCUCAUCUGUGCAGUGAAGGCUUUGGACCUCUUGAUCUCCAUGGCUUAUUUCAGCUCUAGGUACAUGCUUCUAGGUGGGAUCCUUUGCAGCUAACAGGUCCAGGUGAUGCCAGGGACGUCCAGACCAGAUGUUUGGAAUAGUUCUCUUCAUCACAAAUGAUAAAGGGACAUCCUGAUAAAAGAAAGGGUAAACAAAAAAGAGGCUGGCUUGGUGUUCCUUGCUGCAAGCAGAGUUUUCAUCAUGGUGAGUGAAGUGGG